rnacentral:rRNA from 1 species
AGAGUUUGAUCAUGGCUCAGAACGAACGCUGGCGGCAGGCUUAACACAUGCAAGUCGAGCGCCCCGCAAGGGGAGCGGCAGACGGGUGAGUAACGCGUGGGAAUCUACCUAGCUCUACGGAAUAACCCAGGGAAACUUGGACUAAUACCGUAUACGUCCUUCGGGAGAAAGAUUUAUCGGAGUUGGAUGAGCCCGCGUUGGAUUAGCUAGUUGGUGGGGUAAUGGCCUACCAAGGCGACGAUCCAUAGCUGGUCUGAGAGGAUGAUCAGCCACACUGGGACUGAGACACGGCCCAGACUCCUACGGGAGGCAGCAGUGGGGAAUAUUGGACAAUGGGCGAAAGCCUGAUCCAGCCAUGCCGCGUGAGUGAUGAAGGCCCUAGGGUUGUAAAGCUCUUUCAACGGUGAAGAUAAUGACGGUAACCGUAGAAGAAGCCCCGGCUAACUUCGUGCCAGCCGCCGCGGUAAUAC